rnacentral:rRNA from 1 species
GACGAACGCUGGCGGCGUGCUUAACACAUGCAAGUCGAACGGAGUGGCGAACGGGUGAGUAACACGUGAGUAACCUGCCCUUGACUUUGGGAUAACUUCAGGAAACUGGGGCUAAUACCGGAUAGUUGGGGAUGGACUCGCGGCUUAUCAGCUUGUUGGUGGGGUAGUGGCUUACCAAGGCUUUGACGGGUAGCCGGCCUGAGAGGGUGACCGGCCACAUUGGGACUGAGAUACGGCCCAGACUCCUACGAGAGGCAGCAGUGGGGAAUAUUGCACAAUGGGCGGAAGCCUGAUGCAGCAACGCCGCGUGCGGGAUGACGGCCUUCGGGUUGUAAACCGCUUUCGCCUGUGACGCGGUAAUGGGUAAAGAAGCACCGGCUAACUACGUGCCAGCAGCCGCGGUGAUACGUAGGGUGCGAGCGUUGUCCGGAUUUAUUGGGCGUAAAGGGCUCGUAGGUGGUUGAUCGCGUCGGAAGUGUAAUCUUGGGGCUUAACCCUGAGCGUGCUUUCGAUACGGGUUGACUUGAGGAAGGUAGGGGAGAAUGGAAUUCCUGGUGGAGCGGUGGAAUGCGCAGAUAUC